rnacentral:lncRNA from 1 species
UAUAGCAAUCCGGCGCCGUGUGUCCCCUUUUCGAGCAGAUCUGGCAGCGGAGAUCCCCUCUUUGCGAUUUAUAUCCACCGCCGUAGGUGUUCUGGUAGCGUCGUUCUUGCUGCGGCGGUUGAGGCAUUUUGGCGACGACGGCAGCAGCAUUUCCGGCGACGGCUGCAACUCGCGAUUUCUCCAGUCGGAGGUUGUGGUCCAUCAACAUCUCGCAUACUCCGGUGAACGUUAGGUCUGGAUUGAAUGGUGUGGUGAUUGCGGUUACAAAAG